UCCGAGAUCUUCCCACUGGGGAGGAAUCAAAGAGCGAGCUCCGAGAUCUUCCCACUGGGGAGGAAUCAAAGAGCGAGCGAGAGAGCUCGAGUCGCAAGCUCAGCCCACCCUCCACCGAGAGACUUCGGGGAAGGCAGGCGGCAAGCGACUUCGAGAAGGUCAGAUCCGGCCGGUGGAGGCUCGGAUCUGACCUGAGUGAGAGAAGAUUGAGGCCGAGGGUAGGGUUUCGCGAGAUCUGCGCCUCAGAUCUGGUUUUUUUGCUGUUGCUAUUGCUGCCGAACGCUGUGCCGAGCCGAGCACUCCCGACCACCCCAACGCCGUCGCUACGACUGAUUCGUCCAAAAGCC
rnacentral:lncRNA from 1 species